rnacentral:misc_RNA from 1 species
GUGAGUCAUCGAAUCUUUGAACGCACCUUGCGCUCUUUGGCUAUUCCGAAGAGCAUGCCUGUUUGAGUAUCAUGAACACCUCAACUCUCAUGGCUUGCCAUGAUGAGCUUGGACUCUGGGGGCCUUGCUGGCCUAUGGUCUGCUCCCCUCAAAUGCAUUAGCUUGCCAGUGUUUGGCGGCAUCGCAGGUGUGAUAACUAUCUACGCUUGCCAUUGCCUGCCAUAUAACCCCCGGCCACGGAGGUUCGCUGGAGCUCAUAAACGUCUCUCCUCAGCGAGGACAACUUUGUGAACGUUUGAUCUCAAAUCAGGUAGGACUACCCGCUGAACUUAAGCAUAUCAAUAAGCGGAGGA